UACGGGGGGGAGCAAGCGUUGUUCGGAUUUACUGGGCGUAAAGGGCGCGUAGGCGGUCAGCACAAGUCAGUUGUGAAAUCUCCGGGCUUAACUCGGAAAGGUCAACUGAUACUGUGCGACUAGAGUGCAGAAGGGGCAACUGGAAUUCUCGGUGUAGCGGUGAAAUGCGUAGAUAUCGAGAGGAACACCUGCGGCGAAGGCGGGUUGCUGGGCGUGACACUGACGCUGGAGACGCGAAAGCCGGUGGGAGCGAACAGGGAUUAGAAACCC
rnacentral:rRNA from 1 species